GAUGAACGCUGACAGAAUGCUUAACACAUGCAAGUCGAUGGGGAAGUGGUGCUUGCACCCUGGUAACCCUGGCGGACGGGUGAGUAACGCGUAAGGAACUUACCUGCGGGACCGGGAUAACAGCAGGAAACUGCUGACAAGACCGGAUAAGGUCAUUAAGCUGCAUAGCUUAGUGAUGAAAGGAGACGCCUGCGGAGAGCCUUGCGUCCUAUUAGCUAGUUGGAGGGGUAACGGCCCACCAAGGCGAAGAUAGGUAGCCGGCCUGAGAGGGUGGACGGCCACAAGGGGACUGAGAUACGGCCCUUACUCCUACGGGAGGCGGCAGUGGGGAAUAUUGGACAAUGGGGGCAACCCUGAUCCAGCAAUUCUGUGUGCACGAAGACGGUUUUCGGAUUGUAAAGUGCUUUCAGCAGGGAAGAAGGAAGUGACGGUACCUGCAGAAGAAGCGACGGCUAAAUACGUG
rnacentral:rRNA from 1 species